rnacentral:lncRNA from 1 species
GUUCAUUUCUUCCUUCUCUAUCGCUGACAAUGACUACUGUGGGUAAGUCUACACGCUCCUGUGCACUGUCGUAACUACAAUCUGCACACAAACUUUUUGUUGUUCCUUUAAAAUUCGGAUUAACCACAAGAUUAACAAAUGCGGUGUUUAAAUCUAGUAAUUUGUUUGAUGUCACCUGUUCCGCACCAAAACCUCACGCACACACCCAGACACCUGCGCGCAGGUGCACUGAUACGUUCGUCAUCCUUCUGAGGGACUUGCUCAACAUACGCUGUGCGCGUGAAUGUUAACCACGGGAAGCACGGUAACGAACAGAGUUUAUCCACUCCCCGGUCUGUCCUCUGAAAUGUUCCGUUAAACUUCUGAUUGAUCAACUCUGAGAUGAACAUUCCGCUGGGGGUAAAACUGGCUCUACUUUCUUGUUCAUUCCUUCAGCUGCUGACGGCACAAGCAGCUCAAAGCCCACUCACAGAGACAGACGGAAGAUUACAAAGGAGGGCUAAUGCACUGCGGAGGAAACGGGAUCUCCUAGGGGAGGAGACAUUCACUCCUCUUCUGUCCGAAGCAACUGUCCCUCGCAGUGUUCUACACAAUUACACCGCCCGCGAUGCCUCCUCAGGUAUACACACACACACACACACUCACGUG